rnacentral:misc_RNA from 1 species
AACGCACCUUGCGCUCCUUGGUAUUCCGAGGAGCAUGCCUGUUUGAGUGUCAUGGAAUUCUCAACUUAUAAAUCCUUGUGAUCUAUAAGCUUGGACUUGGAGGCUUGCUGGCCCUCGUUGGUCGGCUCCUCUUGAAUGCAUUAGCUCGAUUCCGUACGGAUCGGCUCUCAGUGUGAUAAUUGUCUACGCUGUGACCGUGAAGUGUUUUGGCGAGCUUCUAAUCGUCCAUUAGGACAACUUUUUAACAUCUGACCUCAAAUCAGGUAGGACUACCCGCUGAACUUAA